rnacentral:misc_RNA from 1 species
GUGAAUCAUCAAAUUUUUGAACGCAAAUUGCACUCUCUUCGGAUAGUAUGCCUGUUUGAGGGUCAGUAUUAAUAAAAAUCUGUGUGUUGCUUCUUUGGGACGCUCUGUAGUUUGGCUCAUCUUAAUAUCCUUUAGGUUUUAAGAGUCUUAAAAUUGACUUUUUUUUCUCAUUUUAGAUGUACAUUAAUUCUUUUUUUUAUUCGUCUGUCUUAAUGCUCAACAUCCUAUUAGUUGCUACC